rnacentral:rRNA from 1 species
GAUUGAACGCUGGCGGCAUGCCUUACACAUGCAAGUCGAACGGCAGCACGGGGGCAACCCUGGUGGCGAGUGGCGAACGGGUGAGUAACAUAUCGGAACGUGCCCUGGAGUGGGGGAUAACUAGUCGAAAGAUUAGCUAAUACCGCAUACGAUCUACGGAUGAAAGUGGGGGAUCGCAAGACCUCAUGCUCGUGGAGCGGCCGAUAUCUGAUUAGCUAGUUGGUGGGGUAAAGGCCUACCAAGGCAUCGAUCAGUAGCUGGUCUGAGAGGACGACCAGCCACACUGGGACUGAGACACGGCCCAGACUCCUACGGGAGGCAGCAGUGGGGAAUUUUGGACAAUGGGCGCAAGCCUGAUCCAGCAAUGCCGCGUGAGUGAAGAAGGCCUUCGGGUUGUAAAGCUCUUUUGUCAGGGAAGAAACGGUGAGGGCUAAUAUCCCUUGCUAAUGACGGUACCUGAAGAAUAAGCACCGGCUAACUACGUGCCAGCAGCCGCGGUAAUACGUAGGGUGCAAGCGUUAAUCGGAAUUACUGGGCGUAAAGCGUGCGCAGGCGGUUGUGCAAGACCGAUGUGAAAUCCCCGGGCUUAACCUGGGAAUGGCAUUGGUGACUGCACGGCUAGAGUGUGUCAGAGGGGGGUAGANNUCCACGUGUAGCAGUGAAAUGCGNAGAGAUGUGGAGGAAUACCGAUGGCGAAGGCAGCCCCCUGGGAUAACACUGACGCUCAUGCACGAAAGCGUGGGGAGCAAACAGGAUUAGAUACCCUGGUAGUCCACGCCCUAAACGAUGUCAACUAGUUGUCGGGUCUUAAUUGACUUGGUAACGCAGCUAACGCGUGAAGUUGACCGCCUGGGGAGUACGGUCGCAAGAUUAAAACUCAAAGGAAUUGACGGGGACCCGCACAAGCGGUGGAUGAUGUGGAUUAAUUCGAUGCAACGCGAAAAACCUUACCUACCCUUGACAUGGCAGGAAUCCCGGAGAGAUUCGGGAGUGCUCGAAAGAGAACCUGCACACAGGUGCUGCAUGGCUGUCGUCAGCUCGUGUCGUGAGAUGUUGGGUUAAGUCCCGCAACGAGCGCAACCCUUGUCAUUAGUUGCUACGAAAGGGCACUCUAAUGAGACUGCCGGUGACAAACCGGAGGAAGGUGGGGAUGACGUCAAGUCCUCAUGGCCCUUAUGGGUAGGGCUUCACACGUCAUACAAUGGUACAUACAGAGGGCCGCCAACCCGCGAGGGGGAGCUAAUCCCAGAAAGUGUAUCGUAGUCCGGAUUGCAGUCUGCAACUCGACUGCAUGAAGUUGGAAUCGCUAGUAAUCGCGGAUCAGCAUAUCGCGGUGAAUACGUUCCCGGGUC